rnacentral:rRNA from 1 species
GAGUUUGAUCCUGGCUCAGGACUAACGCUGGCGGCGUGCAUAACACAUGCAAGUCGAACGAGAAACCCACCUUCGGGUGGGGAUUAAAGUGGCAGACGGGUGAGUAAUAUAUGAAUAACCUACCCUCAAGUUUGGGACAACCCACCGAAAGGUGAGCUAAUACCGGAUAAGCCCACAACUCCGCAUUGCGGAGAAGGGGGAAAAGGUGGCCUAUGCUUGCAAGCUAUUGCUUGAGGAGGGGUUCAUAUCCUAUUAGCUAGUUGGUGGGGUAAUGGCCUACCAAGGCGAAGAUGGGUAGCCGGCCUGAGAGGGUGACCGGCCACACUGGAACUUAGACACGGUCCAGACUCCUACGGGAGGCAGCAGUGGGGAAUUUUCCGCAAUGGGCGCAAGCCUGACGGAGCAACGCCGCGUGAGGGACGAAGGCUUUCGAGUCGUAAACCUCUGUCGUGUAAGAAGAAAAGCUUCUGAGUUAAUAACUCAGAAGAUUGACUGUACUACAGGAGGAAGCUCCGGCCAACUACGUGCCAGCAGCCGCGGUAAAACGUAGGGAGCAAGCGCUGUCCGGAAUUAUUGGGCGUAAAGGGCGUGUAGGUGGUUAAAUAAGUCGUUUGUUUAAUACGUGAGCUUAACUCGCGACCAGCAUACGAAACUAUUUUGACUUGAGUUUAGGAGAGGAAAGUGGAAUUCCCAGUGUAGCGGUGAAAUGCGUAGAUAUUGGGAAGAACACCAGUGGCGAAGGCGACUUUCUGGACUAAAACUGACACUAAGGCGCGAAAGCCAGGGGAGCGAACGGGAUUAGAUACCCCGGUAGUCCUGGCCGUAAACGGUGAACACUAGGUGUAGGAGGAGUUUUUUCUUUCUGUGCCGAAGCUAACGCAUUAAGUGUUCCGCCUGGGGAGUACGCUCGCAAGGGUGAAACUCAAAGGAAUUGACGGGGGCCCGCACAAGCGGUGGAGCAUGUGGUUCAAUUCGAUGCUACGCGAAGAACCUUACCUAGGCUGGACAUCAAUAUGAAAUCUUUUAGAAAUUUAAGACCUCCAGCAAUGGACAUAUUGACAGGUGCUGCAUGGCUGUCGUCAGCUCGUGUCGUGAGAUGUUGGGUUAAGUCCCGCAACGAGCGCAACCCUUAUCCUUAAUUGCCAGCAAGUAAUGUUGGGCACUUUAGGGAGACUGCUCGCGAUGAGCGAGAGGAAGGUGGGGGUGACGUCAAGUCCUCAUGGCCUUUAUGCCUAGGGCUACACACGUGCUACAAUGGCCGGUACAAAGGGUUGCCAAGCCGCGAGGUGGAGCUAAUCCCAAAAAGCCGGUCUCAGUUCGGAUUGGAGGCUGCAACUCGCCUCCAUGAAGUUGGAAUCGCUAGUAAUCGCUAAUCAGCAGGUAGCGGUGAAUACGUUCCCGGGCCUUGUACACACCGCCCGUCACACCACGAAAGUUGGUUGUACCCANAAACCAUUAUCCUAACCGUAAGGAGGGAGGUGUCUAAGGUAUGGCCAGUGAUUGGGGUGAAGUCGUAACAAG